AACCAACAGGGAUUGCCUCAGUAACGGCGAGUGAAGCGGCAAAAGCUCAGAUUUGAAAUCUGGCGUCUUCGGCGUCCGAGUUGUAAUCUGUAGAGGAUGCCUUUGGGUGGCCACCGGUCUAAGUCCCCUGGAACGGGGUGUCACAGAGGGUGAGAAUCCCGUAUGUGACCGGGAAGGCGCCCUAUACAUGGCUCCUUCGACGAGUCGAGUUGUUUGGGAAUGCAGCUCUAAAUGGGAGGUAAAUUCCUUCUAAAGCUAAAUACCGGCCAGAGACCGAUAGCGCACAAGUAGAGUGAUCGAAAGAUGAAAAGCACUUUGGAAAGAGAGUUAAAAAGCACGUGAAAUUGUUGAAAGGGAAGCGCUUGCAACCAGACUUGUUGGCGGUGUUCCGCCGGUCUUCUGACCGGUCUACUCACCGUCUGCAGGCCAGCAUCAUCUGGGGCCGCUGGAUAAAAGCGGAGGGAAUGUGGCUCCUCCGGGAGUGUUAUAGCCCUCUGUGUAAUACAGCGAGUCCCGGGUGAGGUCCGCGCUUCGGCUAGGAUGCUGGCGUAAUGGUCGUAAGCGGCCCGUCUUGAAACACGGACCAAGGAGUCUAACAUCUAUGCGAGUGUUCGGGUGUCAAACCCCUACGCGUAAUGAAAGUGAACGGAGGUGGGAACCUUUUAGGUGCACCAUCGACCGAUCCUGAUGUCUUCGGAUGGAUUUGAGUAAGAGCAUAGCUGUUGGGACCCGAAAGAUGGUGAACUAUGCCUGGAUAGGGUGAAGCCAGAGGAAACUCUGGUGGAGGCUCGCAGCGGUUCUGACGUGCAAAUCGAUCGUCAAAUUUGGGUAUAGGGGCGAAAGACU
rnacentral:rRNA from 1 species